CUCCACUUCCUGCUACAGAUUUCGUGCGGCUCCAUCACUCCCUGGCAGGCCAUAGUAUUGGCCACAACUCUGCUCCACUUCCUGCGAUGGAUACCGCACGGCUCCUCCACCCUCUGGCAAGUCAUGACAACGGACGCCGCUUCACUCCCCGCAACAGGCUCCACGUGGCAGGUCACGGUGAUGGCCAUGAUUCCACUCCACUACUCUUCAUAACAGACUCCUCCUGGCUCUGAACGACCCCCUGCC
rnacentral:lncRNA from 1 species